GUAUUCACUUUGCUACCCCUCUGCCUGCAGUGGUUCCUGCAGCACCAAAGCCCCCCCGCACCCCAAUGCCCACCUCCAGGGAUGUUGGUGUGGUUGCAGUGAGCCGAGAGCUGCCGCUCCUGCAGCUCCUCCUGACUGAUGGUCUUCAUCACCAUCACUGCUGCCUCAGCUCCCCCUCUGUGAACACCUUCCCCCACAUCUGAUCCAAAUCUCCCUAUCACUGGGAUAGGCUCCCCAGGGAGGUGGUUGAGUCACCGUCCCUGGAUGUGUUGAAGAGCCGUUUGGAUGUGGUGCUCGGAGAUAUGAUUUAGCGGAGGGUUGUUAGAGUUAGGGGACUAUGGUUAGGCUGCGCUUGGACCUGAUGAUCUCUGAGGUCCUUUCCAACCUGAGUAAUUCUAUGAUUGUAUGAUUCUUUCUCCAUAGCAGAGGUGCUGCAGCCUCUGAGCGAAGCACCUGGAGAAAACCGUUUCCUCUUCUC
ensembl:lncRNA